rnacentral:misc_RNA from 1 species
GUAGGUGAACCUGCGGAAGGAUCAUUAAUGAGUUGUCAUGGGGUUCGAUGCUGGCAGCCAGUUUUUGGAUGCAUGUGCUUGCCCUAACAAUCAUCUUCUUCCAAACACCUGUGCACAUUUUUGAGGGAGUCUUGAGUUGGUUGCCGCUCUUGGGUGAUUUUCUCACAUUCCCUUAAAUCAUUAUACGCUAUUAACAAUGUUGAACGUGCUCUGUGCCGCAAGGCCAUUAAUAUAAUACAACUUUUAACAACGGAUCUCUUGGCUCUC